CCAGCAUUCAAGGAUUUGACAUCUUAUCUGUGUACUCACUCUCAGUCUCAAAUAUUAGCCAGACCUACUCCCAGUCAGGCUGUGCCAACAGCCACCGAGAAAUUCAAGCUACCUCCAGUGAGAGAAAGCAGACAGGGGGGAGGGGG
rnacentral:lncRNA from 1 species